rnacentral:lncRNA from 1 species
UUGAAUUCAUUAUCUAAACCUAAUCUCAAUUUUAUCUCUAUUAUUUUUUCUUAUUUAAACGAAUUUAGUUCUAUUAAAAAUAUUUUUUUGGUUCAUUCGGAUACUCUUAGGUACUGUAUGUCUUUUACAAAAAAAAAAAAAAAAAAAAAAAAAAAAAAAAAAAAAUCUAGUAAUUCGGAUACUUUGAGAAAUAUCAAAUUAAAUUUUAUUGAGUAGAUUUAUAUCCGGCUAAUUUUGGGUAUUUUGCCUAAAUUGAAUUACACUAUUUAAC